GUAUUAACAAUACGACAGCUUCAAGCUAAGACGGCAAAACAGCAACUACAUAUGGACGGAAUCGGCGAUGCAAAGGCAAACGUAAUCAGUACAGACAAGGGGGAAAAAUAGGAGCAACAUUAAAAGGAACCUAUGGCGUAAGGGACAUGAAACAUGGUUUUUAAACAAUGAAAGCAAAGUCGUGGGGAUUUAGUGAUGGAUACAAAGUAACAGCCCUAAUAUUUGAUAAUCGAGCUGCACUGA
rnacentral:lncRNA from 1 species